rnacentral:rRNA from 1 species
CCCAAUGAUAUCUCUAGAAGGCAUCUGAAAGAGAUUAAAGAUUUAUCGGUGAUGGAUGGGGAUGCGUCUGAUUAGCUUGUUGGCGGGGUAACGGCCCACCAAGGCAACGAUCAGUAGGGGUUCUGAGAGGAAGGUCCCCCACAUUGGAACUGAGACACGGUCCAAACUCCUACGGGAGGCAGCAGUGAGGAAUAUUGGUCAAUGGACGAGAGUCUGAACCAGCCGAGUAGCGUGCAGGAUGACGGCCCUAUGGGUUGUAAACUGCUUUUAUAAGGGAAUAAAGUGAGUCUCGUGAGACUUUUUGCAUGUACCUUAUGAAUAAGGACCGGCUAAUUCCGUGCCAGCAGCCGCGGUAAUACGGAAGGUCCGGGCGUUAUCCGGAUUUAUUGGGUUUAAAGGGAGCGUAGGCCGGAGAUUAAGCGUGUUGUGAAAUGUAGAUGCUCAACAUCUGAACUGCAGCGCGAACUGGUUUCCUUGAGUACGCACAAAGUGGGCGGAAUUCGUGGUGUAGCGGUGAAAUGCUUAGAUAUCACGAAGAACUCCGAUUGCGAAGGCAGCUCACUGGAGCGCAACUGACGCUGAAGCUCGAAAGUGCGGGUAUCGAACAGGAUUAGAUACCCUGGUAGUCCGCACGGU